rnacentral:rRNA from 1 species
CACGUAGGAGGCGAGCGUUGUCCGGAAUCAUUGGGCGUAAAGAGCGCGCAGGCGGCUUGGCAAGUCGGGUGUGAAAUCCCGGGGCUCAACCCCGUGACUGCAUCCGAUACUGUCAGGCUAGAGGUAGGUAGGGGAGAUCGGAAUUCCUGGUGUAGCGGUGAAAUGCGCAGAUAUCAGGAGGAACACCGGUGGCGAAGGCGGGAUCU